rnacentral:rRNA from 1 species
AGAGUUUGAUCCUGGCUCAGAACGAACGCUGGCGGCAGGCCUAACACAUGCAAGUCGAACGGGCCGGUCCCUUCGGGGGUCGGUCAGUGGCGGACGGGUGAGGAACGCGUGGGAACCCGCCCUCGAGUGGGGAACAACCGCUGGAAACGGCGGCUGAUACCGCAUGCGCCCCGCGGGGCAAUGGCCGCAAGGCCGCUCGAGGAGGGGCCCGCGUCCGAUUAGCCGGUUGGUGGGGUAACGGCCCACCAAGGCCGCGAUCGGUAGCUGGUCUGAGAGGACGAUCAGCCACACUGGGACUGAGAUACGGCCCAGACUCCUACGGGAGGCAGCAGUGGGGAAUAUUGGACACUGGGGGAAACCCUGAUCCAGCCAUGCCGCGUGAGUGACGAAGGCCUUAGGGUUGUAAAGCUCUUUCGCCCGCGACGAUGAUGACGGUAGCGGGAGAAGAAGCCCCGGCUAAUUCCGUGCCAGCAGCCGCGGUAAGACGGAAGGGGCGAGCGUUGUUCGGAAUCACUGGGCGUAAGCGCGCGCAGCGGCGUUCGCGCGGGAGGCGUGAAAGGCCCGGGCUCAACCCGGGAACGGCGCUUCCGACGGCGACGCUGGAAUUCCGGGAGAGGGCGGUGGAAUUCCGAGUGUAGAAGUGAAUUCGUAAUAUUCCGAAGGAACACCGGUGGCGCAGGCGGCCGCUUGGCCCGGAACUGACGCUCAGCGCGAAGCGAUGGGGGAGCAAACAGGAUUAGAUACCCUGGUAAGUCCAACGACGGUAAACGAUGAGUGCUAGAUGUCGGGGG